UCUGCACACGAGUCAUGGUACAGGACACUGCAUGUAUUUCCUAUGCCUUUUUGUUGCUAUAAAUUUGUAUUUUGUUUGUAUAUGAACACUUUCUUAGCUUUUUCUGUAUUUUCAUUUAUUUAGAAACUAUAAUUAGAGCUUCAUAGUAUCUGAUGGUAAAUAUAGAAUAGAUAUAAAUGAUUUUGUUUUGGUUUAUGUGAAAACCGAACUUUUUAAAGGCGCCAUCUCAAGCUACACCUGUCUAACAAUGCUUUGGUAAGUGUGUUUGUUUAUAUAUUUAAAAACUUUAAAAAUUAUAUUACUUUAAUUGUCAGUGCGUUUCUUUAUUAAAACUCUUAAAACUGUGUUUAUUUUUACAACCUUUUCUAAAUUAGAGGAACUGAGAAGAUUUUGGUCAUGCUUUUAGCAAAGAACUCUCAAAGAAAAAGUGCCUUCCAAUUUUUUAAACAAAACUUAUUAACCACUUCAUUUCUUAAACCACUAGGCUAUAGACAGGUAACAGUUUUGUGGUUAGAAGUUUAAUCUGUAUAUCUGACUGUGAAUUUACUAAUUUUUUUUCUCAUCUUCCACUAAGAUUUUUCUCUUGCAGGAGAAUUUUUCAUUGAGAUGAUUGAAAUUGCUGCAGUGAGAAUGGAAAUUACUUGGGCUCCUUUCCUUUUAAAAGCUGCAUGCAAGAACUGUGUGGUUCAGCCUGUUGUGGUGCUGGACCAGGGAAGAUGUUUGUGGGCUGUACAAGAAGAAACCUCAUGUUGCUAUAGGUGCUGCAGAAAUCAGUAAAAAAUUCUGUAGGCAGUGGAACAAAUGCCUGCAAGUAGAGAAAACCAUGUCUUCAUGGUUAUGCCAAGUGAGAAUUCCGAAGAAUUGGAUGUGAUGUUUAAUUUUCUGCCUUUGUUCUCAUGUGAUGCUGGACAAGUAACCAGGCUGUUGUUUCCGUAGUGCAUAUAUUGUGCUUUACUUUGGAGGUGUCUGAUUUAAGACUCAUGUCUGGAAGAAGCACUUGUGGUUCACAUUAG